rnacentral:rRNA from 1 species
CUACGGGAGGCAGCAGUGGGGAAUAUUGCACAAUGGGGGAAACCCUGAUGCAGCCAUGCCGCGUGUGUGAAGAAGGCCUUUGGGUUGUAAAGCACUUUCAGCGGGGAGGAAGGCAGGUGGUGUUAAUAACACUAUUUGAUUGACGUUACCCGCAGAAGAAGCACCGGCUAACUCCGUGCCAGCAGCCGCGGUAAUACGGAGGGUGCGAGCGUUAAUCGGAAUUACUGGGCGUAAAGCGUACGUAGGUGGUUUGUUAAGUUAAGUGUGAAAUCCCUGGGCUUAACCUAGGAACUGCAUUUAAAACUGGCAAGCUUGAGUAUGGCAGAGGGGGGUAGAAUUCCAGGUGUAGCGGUGAAAUGCGUAGAGAUCUGGAGGAAUACCGAAGGCGAAGGCAACCCCCUGGGCCAUCACUGACACUGAGGCACGAAAGCGUGGGGAGCAAACAGGAUUAGAUACCCCGGUAGUC